UACAUAGGGAGCGAGCGUUAUCCGGAAUUAUUGGGCGUAAAGAGUGCGUAGGCGGUUUAUUAAGUCGGUCGUGAAAUGCUGGGGCUAAACCCCAGUUUGCGAUCGAAACUGGUAAACUAGAGUACGGUAGAGGCAAGUGGAAUUCCAUGUGUAGCGGUAAAAUGCGUAGAUAUAUGGAGGAACACCAGUGGCGAAGGCGGCUUGCUAGGCCGGCACUGACGCUAAUGCACGAAAGCGUGGGUAGCAAACA
rnacentral:rRNA from 1 species